CCCCAUGUGACAUUUUGAUGCCUGUAUGGAUUGUUUUGUUUUUUCUUUAUUUUUGUUUCUACAUGUAUGCAUUGUGAAAAGUGCAAAUCAGUCCAGUGAACAUAUCCAUCACCACAAAUACUUAUUUUUUGUGGUGGAAACAUUUGAAAUCCUCUUUUUCAGCUACUUUGAAAUCCAUGGUAAGUUACUGUUAACUGUAGAAACUGCUGUGGAACAGAACACACAAUUUACCAUGGGCCUGGGGCUUCCCAUUUCCCUUGACCCUCUACCGUCAGAUUGUGAACUGGCUGUCAUCCUCAGAGCAAACAAAACUUCACAGCUAUCGGAGUGCUGAGACUAAAGAUUGACCAGGCACUGGGUGUGGAGGCACACGUCUAUAAUCCCAGCACUGGGAGGCUGACACAGGAGGGUCAUUGAGAGUCUGAGAAUACACAGUGCAAGGGCGGCCUGAACUACUUUUAGUGAGACCCUGUCUCAAAACAACAAAAGGGGCCGGGGAUGUACCUCAGUGUUGCCGCCACCUGCCUCAAGGUCCUGAGUUCAAUCCCUGGUACCAAGAAAACCCAAAAAACAAAAGAAAGCCCACCAAAAUAAGUGAAUUAAUUAACUAAUAAAUACACUGACCAGGUGGCCCUCUGUGAUGGUGCACAUCUCUAAUCCCAGCUACUUGGGAGGCUGAGGCAGGAGGAUCAUAAAUUAGAAGCCAGCCUGAGUAACUUUGGCUUUUUCAUAACACAAUUUUAAAAAAUGUACUGGGAUGUACCUCAGGGGUCCCCCAGGUUCAGUCUCCAGUACUGCACUAAUGAAUGAGCAAGCAAGUAAAUAAAUAGGUAAAACCUAACUCCCAGUACUUUGGAAGGCUGAGGCAGGAGGAUAAUAAUUUCAAGCCCAGCCUGGGGUGAUUUACUAAAUCACCAUCUCAAAGCUGGGUGUGGUGGCACACUCCUGUAAUCCCAGCACUCGGGAGGCUGAAGCAGGAGGGUCACCUUGAGUUUGAGGCCAGCCUGGGCUACACAGCAAGACAAAAAAACAAAACCAAACCCCCAACAAAAACAAGAUGAGGAUUAACAAGGCUCAAAUUGCUCUUCCUGAAGAACAGAGUGGGGUAGUCUGCCAUGGAUGGACAGCAGGACGCCAUGUGUUUGAUGGCCUUGCUGGUGGCUUAUGGCUCGCAAUGGUUCAGACUCAGGCUGAGAGGAGCCUGCGGCAGGUACAAAUGCUACUGGCUUUGUGGAAGAC
ensembl:lncRNA